GACGAACGCUGGCGGCGCGCCUAACACAUGCAAGUCGAACGAGCGAGAGAGAGCUUGCUUUCUCGAGCGAGUGGCGAACGGGUGAGUAACGCGUGAGGAACCUGCCUCAAAGAGGGGGACAACAGUUGGAAACGACUGCUAAUACCGCAUAAGCCCACGGCUCGGCAUCGAGCAGAGGGAAAAGGAGCAAUCCGCUUUGAGAUGGCCUCGCGUCCGAUUAGCUAGUUGGUGAGGUAACGGCCCACCAAGGCGACGAUCGGUAGCCGGACUGAGAGGUUGAACGGCCACAUUGGGACUGAGACACGGCCCAGACUCCUACGGGUGGCAGCAGUGGGGAAUAUUGCACAAUGGGGGAAACCCUGAUGCAGCGACGCCGCGUGGAGGAAGAAGGUCUUCGGAUUGUAAACUCCUGUUGUUGGGGAAGAUAAUGACGGUACCCAACAAGGAAGUGACGGCUAACUACGUGCCAGCAGCCGCGGUAAAACGUAGGUCACAAGCGUUGUCCGGAAUUACUGGGUGUAAAGGGAGCGCAGGCGGGAAGACAAGUUGGAAGUGAAAUCUAUGGGCUCAACCCAUAAACUGCUUUCAAAACUGUUUUUCUUGAGUAGUGCAGAGGUAGGCGGAAUUCCCGGUGUAGCGGUGGAAUGCGUAGAUAUCGGGAGGAACACCAGUGGCGAAGGCGGCCUACUGGGCACCAACUGACGCUGAGGCUCGAAAGUGUGGGUAGCAAACAGGAUUAGAUACCCUGGUAGUCCACACCGUAA
rnacentral:rRNA from 1 species